rnacentral:pre_miRNA from 1 species
UCUUCAUUUCCCACACUUUCUCACUGGUCAAAUGGGCGAGAGCGUGUGUGAAAUGAAGAGA